AUUUACAUCACACUCGUCCCCUAGAGAAUUAAGUCGUGUCAGCUUUGAACUCCGGAGCUGAUCAACAACUUUUAAAACAGAUGACUUCAAGCCAUUCUUUGCAUUUGGUAAUGGAGCACUAGACUCUGCCAAACAGGCACUGGCCACUUGAGUGCCGUCGAUCUUUGGUGACUUCACAUUUUGGAUAUCAUGCCUCACAUUGUUAGAAGAGAUAUUAUCAGCAAUUUUGGCAGGAGAAGAUCCUUUUUGUCUUUCUUUUGGCAAUUGUAGAGCACUGGCAGAGCCUUCAACCCCACGAUAUGACUCGUUGGGGCUUGAGGAUCGCAAGCUACUAACUUUCAACCCAUCAUGCUUCUUUAUAUUAGCAGAAGCCCUAGAUGAGGAGUAUCUACCUUCCUCAGAGGUCAAUGUGCAUUUAUCACGAGAGCCAUGCACAUCAA
rnacentral:misc_RNA from 1 species